rnacentral:misc_RNA from 1 species
UGCAUCCGGCGUCCAUUGCCUUAUCGCGCAUAUCCUUGUCGUCGCUCCCGGUCAUGAAGAUGACGGGCCGCUUCGAUCCCGAUGCCGCAAGCCGGCGCUGCAGCUCGAUUCCCGAAAUUCCCCCAAGCUGAAUGUCAAGCAGCAAGCAGGUUGCCAUCUGCACGCUGUCACUCUCAAGGAACGCCUCGGCCGAGGCGAACGUGCGGCUGUCGAUGCCGUGGUGCGCUAACAGCCGCGCCACGCU